UGUUCCCUAGCUCGUAGGACAGCUGAUUAAGUCCCUGAGCCGAUAAAUUUCGUUUAGGAUAGCAGUUUGUUUACUAUUGAGCAUGCUCGGCAUGUACCGAGAAGCCUACGGUAGGCUGUUGCUCUCCGCCUUGAACCUCAGGGUUCAAGGGCUGACAUCGGCAUCCGCGAAGCCGGGGAACAA
rfam:Pseudoalteromonas piscicida strain S2040 contig0021, whole genome shotgun sequence.